rnacentral:rRNA from 1 species
GGCGUGCCUAAUACAUGCAAGUAGAACGCUGAAGAGAGGAGCUUGCUCUUCUUGGAUGAGUUGCGAACGGGUGAGUAACGCGUAGGUAACCUGCCUUGUAGCGGGGGAUAACUAUUGGAAACGAUAGCUAAUACCGCAUAACAAUGGAUGACACAUGUCAUUUAUUUGAAAGGGGCAAUUGCUUCACUACAAGAUGGACCUGCGUUGUAUUAGCUAGUAGGUGAGGUAACGGCUCACCUAGGCGACGAUACAUAGCCGACCUGAGAGGGUGAUCGGCCACACUGGGACUGAGACACGGCCCAGACUCCUACGGGAGGCAGCAGUAGGGAAUCUUCGGCAAUGGGGGCAACCCUGACCGAGCAACGCCGCGUGAGUGAAGAAGGUUUUCGGAUCGUAAAGCUCUGUUGUAAGUCAAGAACGAGUGUGAGAGUGGAAAGUUCACACUGUGACGGUAGCUUACCAGAAAGGGACGGCUAACUACGUGCCAGCAGCCGCGGUAAUACGUAGGUCCCGAGCGUUGUCCGGAUUUAUUGGGCGUAAAGCGAGCGCAGGCGGUUUGAUAAGUCUGAAGUUAAAGGCUGUGGCUCAACCAUAGUUCGCUUUGGAAACUGUCAAACUUGAGUGCAGAAGGGGGGAGUGGAAUUCCAUGUGUAGCGGUGAAAUGCGUAGAUAUAUGGAGGAACACCGGUGGCGAAAGCGGCUCUCUGGUCUGUAACUGACGCUGAGGCUCGAAAGCGUGGGGAGCGAACAGGAUUAGAUACCCUGGUAGUCCACGCCGUAAACGAUGAGUGCUAGGUGUUGGAUCCUUUCCGGGAUUCAGUGCCGCAGCUAACGCAUUAAGCACUCCGCCUGGGGAGUACGACCGCAAGGUUGAAACUCAAAGGAAUUGACGGGGGCCCGCACAAGCGGUGGAGCAUGUGGUUUAAUUCGAAGCAACGCGAAGAACCUUACCAGGUCUUGACAUCCCGAUGCUAUUUCUAGAGAUAGAAAGUUACUUCGGUACAUCGGUGACAGGUGGUGCAUGGUUGUCGUCAGCUCGUGUCGUGAGAUGUUGGGUUAAGUCCCGCAACGAGCGCAACCCCUAUUGUUAGUUGCCAUCAUUCAGUUGGGCACUCUAGCGAGACUGCCGGUAAUAAACCGGAGGAAGGUGGGGAUGACGUCAAAUCAUCAUGCCCCUUAUGACCUGGGCUACACACGUGCUACAAUGGUUGGUACAACGAGUUGCGAGUCGGUGACGGCAAGCUAAUCUCUUAAAGCCAAUCUCAGUUCGGAUUGUAGGCUGCAACUCGCCUACAUGAAGUCGGAAUCGCUAGUAAUCGCGGAUCAGCACGCCGCGGUGAAUACGUUCCCGGGCCUUGUACACACCGCCCGUCACACCACGAGAGUUUGUAACACCCGAAGUCGGUGAGGUAACCUUUUGGAGCCAGCCGCCUAAGGUGGGAUAGAUGAUUGGGGUGAAGUC